GUGUCAGCCGCCGCGGUAAUACAGAGACCCCGAGCAUUAUCCGGAAUUACUGGGCGUAAAGCGCGAGCAGCCGGUCGCAUUAGUCUGAUGUAAAAGCAUAGGGCCCAACCCUAUGAUCGCAUUGGAAACGGUGCGACUUGAGCGGAUGAGAGGAGAGCAGAACAUAUGGUGUAGGGGUGAAAUCCACUGAUAUCAUAUGGAAUACCAAAAGCGAAGGCAGCUCUCUAGCGUUCUGCUGACGGUCAAUCGCGAAAGCGUGGGGAUCAAAAAGGAUUAGAAACCCCCGUAGUCC
rnacentral:rRNA from 1 species